ACGAACGCUGGCGGCGUGCUUAACACAUGCAAGUCGAACGGUGAAGCGCCUUCCUUUUUGGUGGGUGUGGAUGAGUGGCGAACGGGUGAGUAACACGUGAGUAACCUGCCCCCUUCUUCUGGAUAACCGCAUGAAAGUGUGGCUAAUACGGGAUAUUCUGGGUCUGUCGCAUGAUGGGUCUGGGAAAGAUAUUGUUUCGGUGGGGGAUGGGCUCGCGGCCUAUCAGCUUGUUGGUGGGGUGAUGGCCUACCAAGGCGGUGACGGGUAGCCGGCCUGAGAGGGUGGACGGUCACACUGGGACUGAGACACGGCCCAGACUCCUACGGGAGGCAGCAGUGGGGAAUAUUGCGCAAUGGGCGCAAGCCUGAUGCAGCGACGCCGCGUGAGGGAUGGAGGCCUUCGGGUUGUGAACCUCUUUCGCCAGUGAAGCAGGCCUGCCUCGUUUGUGGGUGGGUUGACGGUAGCUGGAUAAGAAGCGCCGGCUAACUACGUG
rnacentral:rRNA from 1 species